rnacentral:lncRNA from 1 species
AGUGCGCCUGUAACACCAGGACGGACCAACGAGAAAUGGUUAAUUGCAACACAGUCCGGAAAAAGCAUGCCUCGAAAGGCAAAGGGCAAAAGGGAACGGCCUAAGUCGAGGUGGUGUGCUGGUGAAUGUCUUAACAACCAGACUUUUCAGGGAGGAAAGCCCUGAUUUGUAGCGUUUGCUGAUUCUCCGCAAAAGGACUGAACUUCUAGCUGGUUGAAUCACCUCUGUGGCCAGGUUAACACCGUAUGCUGAUGGGCUUGAGCUAUUUGAACAAGUCUCUGUGACGGGGACGGAAUGACCCUGGUUGGUUUAGGCACGCGAGACGUCUGUAAAAUCUGACUACAAGGCUGCUAGGCCAACGGGAAAGAUGCUGAGGGUUCAACGCCAUGCCCUCAACAAGUCAGUCCUCGAAUACAUUGUCAUCUCUUUGCUAAUAUCCUUUUUUGUUUGUUUGUUUUAGACAGGGUCUCACUCUGUCAUCCAGUCAGGAGUGCAGUGCAGCAGUCUCAGCCCAUUGCAGCCUCAACCUCCCGGCUCAAGCGAUCCUCCGUCCUCAGCCUCCCAAGUAGCUGGGACUACAGGCACACACCACCACACCUAGCUAUUUCUUUUCCUUUUUUCUUUUUCUUUCUUUCUUUCUUUUUUUUUUUUUUUUAAGUUUUUUACUUUUAAUAGAGGUGGGGCCUUGCUAUUUUGCCCAGGCUGGUCUCAAACUCCUGAGCUCAAGACCCUACUGCCUUAGCCUCCCAAAGUGCUGGAAUUAUAGGCGUGAGCUGCUGCGCCCAGCCUAUAGACUAUGAUUUUUGCAUUUUUAUUUAUUAGAUUGCUUUUUAAUUUUCGUGUUUUGUGUUUUUGUGCCUUGUCAGACUUGUGGAACAAAAAUCCAAAACUUAACCACCUUUUGGAAUGCCCCAGAAUAGUUUAUACUGAAACAGAUCUUGGUUUGUAAAAGAACACUAUAAAAACAUUUUGGGGGCAACUAGGGAGAUUUAAAUAUGAACGAGAUAUUUGAUGCUUUUCUGAAUUAUUUUGUGUGCUAUAGUGUUGUGCUUGUGACAAUUCUUUACUCUUAGAAAAUGAGGAAGUAUUAGGGAUGAACCAUCAGAAUGUUUGACUUGAAAAUCGUCAGCAAAAAGAAAACACAUAAGAUAAAGCAAAUAUGGCAAAAUGUUAAUUAUUAAAUCUAGGAGGAGGACACAGCUGUUCAUGGUACUAGAUUAAAACUUUGUAGAAGUUUAAAAUUUUAAGCUUUCAUAAAAAAAAAUUGGGGGGAAAUACAUAGCAGUUAUGGUCUUUCUGCAGCUUAAGAGACUAUCUGGACUUGGCUUUGUAGCA